UACAACAAACACAUAUACAGUACACCAAACACACAUACAAAUUAUGAAAAAAAGGAGGACAAUUACACACUCACACAAAGGCAAGCAUUAAGCAUUUAAAAUAUAUGUGAUUACAAAGACGGAUCAAGGAUUUAGUUUAAGGGUGUUACAUCAGCAGAGAUAUAUGUCACCCUAAGGAACCAAACAACAAAAUAGAUUAGCUCACAUAUUAUCAUUUCUUUCAUCGGUAAAGGGUUAGCCUCUUACUCAAUAAUAGAGAUAUUGUCGUGCCUUUCAGAGUUUAUGGUCUUGUGCCCUGGACAACAGGCUGAUAAAAGUGAAUAGUUCUAUUAUAUGGUGCAUUCUGUCGAGUCGCCAAACACCUUGCUUUGACAGCGUCCUUGCAUGGAUGUAUCACAUGCUGACAACCAAUUCACAAAAUGGUCCCCAUAAUAAGGGUAAAUAGAUCAGCUCAACCAAUUGUCACAAAAAGAUUUAAGAAAAACCAAAAAGAUAUUUAAUAAAAGAUGAUAGAAGGAAGUUACAGGAAAAUUUUAGUUUCUAACUUCAAUAAAUUUGUUGCUUAUGUGUCCAUUCAGUCAUACCUUGCAAGUUUUUGUUCUCUAGCUCCCUCUAUAUAAAGCCAUAACCUUGGUUUAAAAUGUAGAGCAGU
rnacentral:lncRNA from 1 species